rnacentral:tRNA from 1 species
UCCCUGGUGGUCCAAUGACUAGGACUCUGACUCCAGGGGGCACAGGUUCGAUCCCUGGUCAGGGAA